CACGUAGGGCGCAAGCGUUGUCCGGAAUUAUUGGGCGUAAAGAGCUCGUAGGUGGUUUGUUACGUCUGCUGUGAAAACCUAGGGCUUAACCCUGGGCUUGCAGUGGAUACGGGCAGACUAGAGGUAGGUAGGGGAGAAUGGAAUUCCUGGUGUAGCGGUGAAAUGCGUAGAGAUCAGGAAGAACAUCGGUGGCGAAGGCGCUCUGCUGGACCAUAACUGACACUCAGGGACGAAAGCUAGGGGAGCGAAUGGG
rnacentral:rRNA from 1 species